rnacentral:lncRNA from 1 species
CCUCUCUCCUCCGGAAGUGACGCAGCGCCUGGCGGCUGUGGUGGCUGAGGCGGCUGUGGCGACGGCGGCCAUGGGCAGGGAGGAGCGGGGAGGGGAGGCCGCUUAGGCCGUGCCCUCGGCCGCCGGGGAGCUUGUGGAGGACGGCGGCAGCGAGCUGGACGAGCACGGCGCCGAGGAGUGCCGGCUGCGGAUGCUGCUCGGGGUGGUUGAUAUUUCGUGGAAAGUACUGAUCCUGAUGUCAUUCAGCAGCUUCUGCAAGACCGUGUCAUUAAGGACUGUUGCCUGAGAAAUGCUGAAGGUGAAAAAACAGAGCUCAUUACAGAGACAUCCACCAGUAAAUCAGCAGUAUGUGUGGCAAGUUUUAAAGC